rnacentral:rRNA from 1 species
GACAUAGGUUGCGAACGUUAUCCGGAAUUAUUGGGCGUAAAGGAUGCGUAGAUGGCAUGACAAGUUAUCAGUGGGAAAUCGGGGCUCAACCUCGUGGAAGCUGGUAAUACUAUCAUGCUUGAGUGCAGGAGGGGUUAACGGAACUCCAUGUGGAGCGGUAAAAUGUGACGAUAUAUGGAAGAACACCGAUAAGGCGAAGGCAGUUAACUAUUCUGCUACUGACAUUGAGGCAUGAAAGCGUGGGGAGCAAAACGG